GGACUUACUUGCCCAAGGGCCACAGCUGC
rnacentral:piRNA from 1 species